UACGGAGGGGGCUAGCGUUGUUCGGAAUUAUUGGGCGUAAAGGGCGCGUAGGCGGCCCGGUAAGUCAGUCGUGAAAGCCCUCGGCUCAACCGAGGAAUUGCGAUUGAAACUGCCGAGCUUGAGUUCUGGAGAGGGUAGCGGAAUUCCCAGUGUAGCGGUGAAAUGCGUAGAUAUUGGGAGGAACACCCGUGGCGAAGGCGGCUACCUGGACAGAUACUGACGCUGAGGCGCGAAAGCGUGGGGAGCAAACAGG
rnacentral:rRNA from 1 species